GGUUGCCAAGAUGAUGGGUUUAGCUGUAUUUCCCUAAGAGCUGACGGUAUUUGGAGGCAACACCAUUGGAGUGCUGAUUCAGGAACUCCACCAAAUUCAAAUGUCUCAUCCCUCGCUCAGGAAGGAAGUUGGAAAAAUGUUACAAGAAGAUUUUGAACUGAUGACUCAGCCAUAGGAGGAGAGAGCCAGCCCAUGGUAACAGCAAACUAUAUCUCCUCAUGUGUUGCU